CACGUAGGCACCAAGCGUUGUCCGGAUUUAUUGGGCGUAAAGAGCUCGUAGGCGGCCGUUCGCGUCGGAUGUGAAAGCUCAGGGCUCAACUCUGAGACGCCAUUCGAUACGGGACGGCUAGAGGUAGGUAGGGGAAAGUGGAAGUUCCUGGUUGUAGCGGUGAAAUGCGCAGAUAUCAGGAAGAACACCCGUGGCGAAGGCGGUUCUCUGGGACGGUACUGACGCUGAGACGCGAAAGCGUGGGGAGCGAACAGG
rnacentral:rRNA from 1 species